rnacentral:rRNA from 1 species
AUUGAACGCUGGCGGCAGGCUUAACACAUGCAAGUCGAGCGGAGAUGAGGUGCUUGCACCUUAUCUUAGCGGCGGACGGGUGAGUAAUGCUUAGGAAUCUGCCUAUUAGUGGGGGACAACAUUCCGAAAGGGAUGCUAAUACCGCAUACGUCCUACGGGAGAAAGCAGGGGAUCUGCGGACCUUGCGCUAAUAGACGAGCCUAAGUCGGAUUAGCUAGUUGGUGGGGUAAAGGCCUACCAAGGCGACGAUCUGUAGCGGGUCUGAGAGGAUGAUCCGCCACACUGGGACUGGGACACGGCCCAGACUCCUACGGGAGGCAGCAGUGGGGAAUAUUGGACAAUGGGGGGAACCCUGAUCCAGCCAUGCCGCGUGUGUGAAGAAGGCCUUAUAGUUGUAAAGCACUUUAAGCGAGGAGGAGGCUACUGAGACUAAUACUCUUGGAUAGUGGACGUUACUCGCAGAAUAAGCACCGGCUAACUCUGUGCCAGCAGCCGCCGUAACAC